UAGUGCUGCACUGUAAACAUUGCAGCUUCUCCAAAACUGCAAUGUUUUACACUGCAGCACUA
rnacentral:miRNA from 1 species